UGUGCCAGCAGCCNCGGGUAAUACAGAGGGUGCAAGCGUUGUUCGGAAUUAUUGGGCGUAAAGCGCGUGUAGGCGGCAGUGCAAGUCGGGUGUGAAAGCCCUCAGCUCAACUGAGGAAGUGCGCCCGAAACUGCAUUGCUUGAGUACCGGAGAGGAUGGCGGAAUUCCCGAAGUAGAGGUGAAAUUCGUAGAUAUCGGGAGGAACACCGGUGGCGAAGGCGGCCAUCUGGACGGAUACUGACGCUGAGACGCGAAAGCGUGGGUAGCAAACAGGAUUAGAUACCCUGGUAGUCCACGCCGUAAACGAUGAGAACUAGGUGUUGUGGGUGUUGACCCCCGCGGUGCCGAAGCUAACGCAUUAAGUUCUCCGCCUGGGAAGUACGGCCGCAAGGCUAAAACUCAAAGGAAUUGACGGGGGCCCGCACAAGCGGUGGAGCAUGUGGUUUAAUUCGACGCAACACGCAGAACCUUACCUGGUCUUGACAUCCUAGGAAUCUGCUAGAGAUAGCGGAGUGCCCGCAAGGGA
rnacentral:rRNA from 1 species